rnacentral:lncRNA from 1 species
UGUCCCUAGAAACUGUAAUAGGUAGAUCAUGCCCCAUCAACUUUUAUUUGUUUUUUUGCUUUUUUUGGAUGAGCAUUAUAAAUUUUCUCCCCACUUGGGCUCUCAACGACGGCAAAUUGAAGUGAUUUAUGUCCCUAGAAACAUUGGGAGGUCUUGAGUUCAACUCUCAAUGAAAGCAACCUUUUUUUUGGGAUGAGCAUCACAAUUUUUAUCCCAGUUGAGCUCUCAAUGAAAACAAAUCGAAGUGAUUUAUGUCCCUAGAAACUGUAAUAGGUAGAUCAUGCCCC